GAUGAACGCUGGCGGCGUGCCUAAUACAUGCAAGUCGAGCGAAUGGAUUGAGAGCUUGCUCUUAUGAAGUUAGCGGCGGACGGGUGAGUAACACGUGGGUAACCUGCCCAUAAGACUGGGAUAACUCCGGGAAACCGGGGCUAAUACCGGAUAACAUUUUGAACCGCAUGGUUCGAAAUUGAAAGGCGGCUUCGGCUGUCACUUAUGGAUGGACCCGCGUCGCAUUAGCUAGUUGGUGAGGUAACGGCUCACCAAGGCAACGAUGCGUAGCCGCCCUGAGAGGGUGACCGCCCACACUGGGACUGAGACACGGCCCAGACUCCUACGGGAGGCAGCAGUAGGGAAUCUUCCGCAAUGGACGAAAGUCUGACGGAGCAACGCCGCGUGAGUGAUGAAGGCUUUCGGGUCGUAAAACUCUGUUGUUAGGGAAGAACAAGUGCUAGUUGAAUAAGCUGGCACCUUGACGGUACCUAACCAGAAAGCCACGGCUAACUACGUGCCAGCCGCCGCGGUAA
rnacentral:rRNA from 1 species